CCUACGGGUGGCUGCAGUGGGGGAUAUUGCACAAUGGGGGAAACCCUGAUGCAGCGACGCCGCGUGUGGGAAGACGGUCCUCUGGAUUGUAAACCACUGUCCCCAGGGACGAAGAUGACGGUACCUGGGGAGGACGCUCCGGCUAACUACGUGCCAGCAGCGGCGGUAAUACGUAGGGAGCAAGCGUUGUCCGGAAUUACUGGGUGAAAAGGGAGCGUAGGCGGGAUGGCAAGUUGGGUGUUAAAUCUACCGGCUCAACUGGUAGUCGCACUCAAAACUGCUAUUCUUGAGUGAAGUAGAGGCAGGCGGAAUGCCUAGUGUAGCGGUGAAAUGCGUAGAUAUUAGGAGGAACACCAGUGGCGAAGGCGGCCUGCUAGAACAUAACUGACGCUGAUGCGCGAAAGCGUGGGGAGCAAACAGGAUUAGAUACCCUGGUAGUC
rnacentral:rRNA from 1 species